rnacentral:rRNA from 1 species
UACGUAGGGUGCAAGCGUUAAUCGGAAUUACUGGGCGUAAAGCGUGCGCAGGCGGUUUUGUAAGUCUGUCGUGAAAGCCCCGGGCUCAACCUGGGAAUUGCGAUGGGAGACUGCAAGGCUUGAAUCUGGCAGAGGGGGGUAGAAUUCCACGUGUAGCAGUGAAAUGCGUAGAGAUGUGGAGGAACACCGAUGGCGAAGGCAGCCCCCUGGGUCAAGAUUGACGCUCAUGCACGAAAGCGUGGGGAGCAAACAGG